CAAGCAGAUCGUCUUAUCGCUCUAAUUAAUUUAGGGAGGAAAGUCCGGACACCAAAGAGUAGCAUAGCGGAUAACAACCGCCCGGUGUAAACCGAGGACCAGUGCAACAGAAAGAAUGUACAGUUAGGCUGUAGUGAAAUCAGGUAAACUCUAUGCGGUGAAAUGCCAUGUAUAUUGAAGUUUGAGGAUUACUCGUCCAAUUUCAAGGGGUAGGCAGCUAAAGCUUAUAAGUAAUUAUAAGCUCAGAUAAAUGAUAAGAUUUUAUAAUUAAGCUUGCUAAGUUAUAAAAACAGAAUCCGGCUUAUAGAUCUGCUUUUUUA
rnacentral:RNase_P_RNA from 1 species